rnacentral:rRNA from 2 species
UACCUGCAGCUCAAGUGGUGGCCGCUAUUAUUGGGCCUAAAACGUCCGUAGCCGGUUCUAUAAAUGCCUGGGUAAAUCGUACGGCUUAACCGUACGAAUUCCGGGUAGACUGUUCAACUUGGGACCGGGAGAGGCUAGAGGUACUCCUGGGGUAGAGGUGAAAUUCUGUAAUCCUAGGGGGACCACCAGUGGCGAAGGCGUCUAGCUAGAACGGGUCUGACGGUGAGGGACGAAGCCCUGGGGAGCAAACGGG